rnacentral:rRNA from 1 species
UAGAUCAUAAAUGCUGGAAUGCUUUAUGAUUGAAAGGUUUCGACCGCCUUAGGAUGGAUCUGCGGCCUAUCAGGUUGUAGUGGGUGUAAUGUACCUACUAGCCUACGACGGGUACGGGUUGUGGAAGCAAGAGCCCGGAGAUGGAUUCUGAGACAUGAAUCCAGGCCCUACGGGGCGCAGCAGGCGCGAAAACUUUACAAUGCGGGAAACCGUGAUAAGGGAACACUGAGUGCUAGCAUUUAUGUUAGCUGUCCACAUGUGUAAAUAGCAUGUGAUAGCAAGGGCUGGGCAAGACCGGUGCCAGCCGCCGCGGUAACACCGGCAGCCCGAGUGGUGAUCACUAUUAUUGGGUCUAAAGGGUCCGUAGCCGGUUUAAUCAGUCUUCUGGGAAAUCUAAUCGCUUAACUAUUAG